rnacentral:rRNA from 1 species
GAUGAACGCUGGCGGCGUGCCUAACACAUGCAAGUCGAACGGAGAUUACGGACGGAAGUUUUCGGAUGGAAGACUGUAAUUCUUAGUGGCGGACGGGUGAGUAACGCGUGGGCAACCUGCCCUAUACAGGGGGAUAGCAGCUGGAAACGGCUGGUAAGACCGCAUAAGUCGGUUAAAUCGCAUGAUUUGAUCGGGAAAUGAGCAAUCAGGUAUAGGAUGGGCCCGCGUCCGAUUAGCCAGUUGGCAGGGUAAAAGCCUACCAAAGCGACGAUCGGUAGCCGGACUGAGAGGUCGGACGGCCACAUUGGGACUGAGACACGGCCCAAACUCCUACGGGAAGCAGCAGUGGGGGAUAUUGCACAAUGGAGGAAACUCUGAUGCAGCGACGCCGCGUGAGUGAAGAAGUAUUUCGGUAUGUAAAGCUCUAUCAGCAGGGAAGAUGAUGACGGUACCUGACGAAGAAGCCCCGGCUAACUACGUG